GACGAACGCUGGCGGCGUGCCUAAUACAUGCAAGUAGAACGCUGAAGGAGGAGCUUGCUUCUCCGGAUGAGUUGCGAACGGGUGAGUAACGCGUAGGUAACCUGCCUGGUAGCGGGGGAUAACUAUUGGAAACGAUAGUUAAUACCGCAUAACAGUAGAUAUUGCAUGAUAUCUGCUUGAAAGGUGCAAUUGCAUCACUACCAGAUGGACCUGCGUUGUAUUAGCUAGUUGGUGAGGUAACGGCUCACCAAGGCGACGAUACAUAGCCGACCUGAGAGGGUGAUCGGCCACACUGGGACUGAGACACGGCCCAGACUCCUACGGGAGGCAGCAGUAGGGAAUCUUCGGCAAUGGACGGAAGUCUGACCGAGCAACGCCGCGGGAGUGAAGAAGGUUUUCGGAUCGUAAAGCUCUGUUGUAAGAGAAGAACGAGUGUGAGAGUGGAAAGUUCACACUGUGACGGUAUCUUACCAGAAAGGGACGGCUAACUACGUG
rnacentral:rRNA from 1 species